GACGUAGGGCGCGAGCGUUGUCCGGAUUUAUUGGGCGUAAAGAGCUCGUAGGCGGCUUGUCGCGUCGUCCGUGAAAACUUGGGGCUCAACCCCAAGCUUGCGGUCGAUACGGGCAGGCUAGAGUUCGGUAGGGGAGACUGGAAUUCCUGGUGUAGCGGUGAAAUGCGCAGAUAUCAGGAGGAACACCGGUGGCGAAGGCGGAUCUCUGGGCCAUUACUGACGCUGAGGAGCGAAAGCGUGGGGAGCGAACGGG
rnacentral:rRNA from 1 species